GCCGGGUUGGCCGAGUGGAAUAGGCGGCGGGCUGCAGACCCGCUUCACGGGGGUUCGAGUCCCCCACCCGGCUCCA
rnacentral:tRNA from 1 species